UCGGGAAUUUUGGGCAAUGGGCGCAAGCCUGAUCCAGCCAUGCCGCGUGCAGGAUGACGGUCCUAUGGAUUGUAAACUGCUUUUUGUACAGGAAGAAACAGUUCUACGUGUAGAACCUUGACGGUACUGUAAGAAUAAGGAUCGGCUAACUCCGUGCCAGCAGCCGCGGUAAUACGGAGGAUCCAAGCGUUAUCCGGAAUCAUUGGGUUUAAAGGGUCCGUAGGCGGUUAGAUAAGUCAGUGGUGAAAGCCCAUCGCUCAACGGUGGAACGGCCAUUGAUACUGUCUGACUUGAAUUAUUAGGAAGUAACUAGAAUAUGUAGUGUAGCGGUGAAAUGCUUAGAGAUGACAUGGAAUACCAAUUGCGAAGGCAGGUUACUACUAAUGGAUUGACGCUGAUGGACGAAAGCGUGGGUAGCGAACAGGAUUAGAUACCCCCGUAGUCCCUGAGCGGGCUGGCAAGGCGCAU
rnacentral:rRNA from 1 species